AUUAUGCAUUAAUACAGAGCAGGUGGCAGAUUUCACAGGCUCAAGGAAAUGUGAAAUAUUUGACAUUUUCACCUUAGUAUUUUCACACAUUGAAGAGACACCUUUCAAGAGACUGGAGCAUCAAUCCUGUCCCAUUGAGGUAUGAGCAGGAGCUUUGUGCUCCAGCUCCACAGGGCCCUUCCUCUCAGUUUCUGAGGUUCCAGCAGCAACCAGAAGAAGAUCAUAGCUGGGUGCUGGCAACAUGAAGAUCUUUGAUGACGUGACAAGAGCAGCCUCCGCAGUGUGAUAGGAAAUGAAACCUGAGCGCAGCGAGGGGGGCAGAGAUGUUGAAAUGAGAAAGUCAUGACAACCUCCACAGAUACCUCUUUCCAGAGGCUUUGCUGUGAAGACUGAAACAACUGGGAACUUAUGUGGGAUGAAGAGCUGCCUCCGGUGGUCUCGGCAGUGUCUCAAGUCUCCCGUCGGGUAGAUUCUUGCAGAAUGAGGCUGGAAGUGCCACUCAGAGGAUCUGAUUCUAACCUCUGCAUAAGCAAAAACCCAGGCCUUGUGUUCCUCAAUUGGGGCCUGGGCUCUCAUAUGCCACUUAUUUUUUCUUAAGUGGAGCAAAGAUUGUGUCAAUAAAAGCAAAGAAUACUUGUUUCAUAUAUAUUUAAAGCUGACGAGUACUUUGUAUAUCACAUUAAGUAGGAAAUUGCUCCAGCCACACUUUGGUAUAUGCGAAUUUGUCAAUCCAUGCUUCUUGUUGAAAAUUUCCUAAGUCAUUGUCCUAAAACAUUUUAAGUAGGAAAGGAUUAUUUGUCAUGAUUGCUGAAAAACUAUCUUUGAGGGAGCACAGCGUCAGAGGUCCUUUAAUUCACUUGGUGGUUAAAAUGUGGGCAAGCACUGAAAGUAAUAUGAAUUCAGACUAAAACAAGAGAUGUGAGUCCAUUCUACUCUCUACUAGACAGAUGCCAUUUAGAGCAGUGCCCAACCUGGGUUUUCUGGACCUCUGAGGAG
rnacentral:lncRNA from 1 species